UACAGAGGUCUCAAGCGUUGUUCGGAUUCAUUGGGCGUAAAGGGUGCGUAGGUGGCGCUGUAACUCGGGUGUGAAAUUUCGGAGCUUAACUCCGAAACUGCAUUCGAUACUGCGGUGCUUGAGGACUGGAGAGGAGACUGGAAUUCAUGGUGUAGCAGUGAAAUGCGUAGAGAUCAUGAGGAAGACCAGUGGCGAAGGCGGGUCUCUGGACAGUUCCUGACACUGAGGCACGAAGGCCAGGGGAGCAAACGGG
rnacentral:rRNA from 1 species